GUGGAAAAAAACCUGCAGACUUAUUUGAUUUACAUAAACCGGGGGUGACACAAACGACGGAAAUCUGAAAUUAUGCAAACGGAAGGAAAUUUCUAGGACAACGGACUUGGACGACAAACUUAAGGACAAAAUGGUGGAAUUCUCGUGAAAAUCUGCAAGAAAAUUAAUGAUUGCACCAAUUGAAAUAUGGAGGAAUGCUACUAAUGAGGAUAAUUUGGACUGGGGGAAAAAAAAACUAGCCGGAAAAUGGAUGGACUGGAUGAAAACAAACUUUCUCUAGGAGGCUGAUUAACAAAUGAGGACGGAGAACUAUCAGCGGAAAAACAACAAUCAUAUUCACAAGUAGAACACUAAGAG
rnacentral:lncRNA from 1 species